rnacentral:rRNA from 1 species
GGGUAACCUGCCCUAUGCUGGAUAAUAACCUCGGGAAACUGAGAAUAAUGAUCCAUAGUUCACUACGCCUGGAACGGUGAGUGGAUGAAAGCUCCGGCGGUAUAGGAUGGGCCUGCGGCGUAUCAGGUUGUAGGGGGUGUAACGUACCCUCUAGCCCUCUACGCGUACGGGUGUUGGGAGACAUAGCCCGGAGAUGGAUUCUGAGACACGAAUCCAGACCCUACGGGGUGCAGCAGGCGCGAAAACUUGGCAAUGCGAGAAAUCGUGACCAGGGAACUCCAAGUGCAUCGGGUAAGACCGGUGCUUUUCUUGACUCUAAAUAGGUCUUGGAAUAAGGGGUGGGUAAGGACGGUGCCAGCCGCCGCGGUAAUACCGGCGCCUCAAGUGGUAGUCGCUUUUAUUGGGCCUAAAACGUCCGUAGCCGGUCUGAUACAUUCGUGGGUAAAUCAACCAGCUCAACUGGUUGGAUUCUGCGAGGACGGUCAGACUUGGGACCGGGAGAGGUGUGGGGUACGCUCAGGGUAGGGGUAAAAUCCUGUCAUCCUGAGCGGACCACCUGUUGCGAAGGCGCCACACUAGAACGGAUCCGACGGUCAGGGACGAAGCCUAGGGGCACGAACCGGAUUAGAUACCCGGGUAGUCCUAGGUGUAAACGCUGUGGACUUGAUGUUGGGGGUGCUCCGAGCACUCUCAGUGUC